GGGUCUGUUUUUACUUCUAAUCAAGGAGGUUUUGACACAGUAGCAUUGCAGAAACAUCAGUAAUGGGAGUUGACAGGAUCAGAAGCUGUUUUAAGAGAAAUCAAAGUUCUAAAAUCAAGAGGAAAACAAGGUAAGAAGCAGAAGGAGCAGAAAGGCAUCAAGCAUUGGAGUAUAGCCUGGAUUACUGCAGACAGUGUCAUACCAUCCAUGUCGGGAUGCAUCCACACCUAUUAGGCUCCAAUGCCUACCUGUGAGGAUAAUCCUAAUCAUUAACUGCUUUACUAGAACAUCCUAAUCUUCCCCUAUCUUUUGACAAACUCAUAUCCUUCUCACAAGACCCAGUUCACACAUCAUCUCUGGUUAUUCCCUCUUCCAUUCUUCCUUAGCACUUUGAACUCACUUCUAUAGCAUUUAGACCAUUGCACUAUGGUCCUGUGAAAGUUUUGUCAAUGGUUAAACUGUGAGCUUAUAAUUAGUAAGAACCAUAGUUUAUUUGUAUUUGUAUCCUUAGUACCUGUAUGUAUGAAGUGAAUCAAUAAGUGAAUUCUUGAAUCCAUGAAGGGCCUCAUAGUGAUUGUUAUUUCUGUUAUAUUCUCCAGGAAACAAAAUUCAGUGAUAGAACACUACUUGGUGUAUCUAUCAGAGUAGAGGUGACAUACAUCUGGCAAGAAAAGGCAGAGCGGAGUAAACUUGGAAAGCUAACAAGCACUGUGGCCACUGUUGUGAUUGUGGACAAGUGUUCUGAGCCUUAUUUGCCCAAUUUAUGAAAUAAAGAUAAUGUGUCUACCUCAAAUAAAGUCUCUUGCAGAAAGAUGGGCCUAAUCCCGGUGCUCCAUCAACUCAGUAAUCUAUUCCAAUCAGUAGGUGAUGGAUUUGACAAGGCAUCUCUAGCCAAGUGAGACACACUCAAGCAGGUCAAGCAACUUAGCGGUCUGCUGCAAAACCUUGGAGAAAAUCCUUGUGUUACAUAAAAAAUUAUACAUGCUAAAAUCACUUCUGGUUUCUGUUGAUAGAGAACAGAUAGAAAAAAAAUGUCCAGAUCUAUGGUUCAAAAUACUCCUGUUAUUCUUGU